GGAAAGGAUGGAUGCAGCUGGUAUAAAAGUUUGGUGCGGUGUAAAAGGUUUGGCAAUUUUACCGAUUUCCUUUGGCGGGUGACAGAAAAAGCUGGACAUAAUUGGUCUCUUCACUCUCUCAUCCUUCAUGUUCCUUUGAACCUUGGAGGUACGGUGGUCCCUUUAUGAGGGAUAUGAGAGAUAUGAGGCUAUACCUUUGGUGGGAAUUGACCUCAAUUUGUGUUUUCUUUAUCAAUUCUCAUCAUAGUAUAGACUGGGAAUAUUGAUGGCGGAUGUUGUAUGUUUCUAGUUUUCCAAAGUUCCCCUUCUCCAACAACUAAUACCAUAUGAUUCCAUUCUCUUAUAUUACAAAUCAAUUUCCAUUACUUUAAGAUACCAUGACAGGAAGAAUCACAAUCUUAUUUAGCAAAUGUAUAAUAAAUACACCUGUAUAAUGCCUCACCUACUAAAAAUAGAUAACAAAUUGUUUCGCAACUGAAAGGUAGUAAUUUGACAUGAUUCGGUUUGUGGCUACAUAUACAAAG
rnacentral:lncRNA from 1 species